rnacentral:lncRNA from 1 species
CGGAUCUGUAACUGUGUGUUUCAGAUGCUGGAUCAACAGUGUGAGAUCAAGUCAGUGAUUUCAGCUGAUAUGUUUUGUUCUUUUCAGGUCUUUUUGCGGUCUGGGCUUGCUGUCACAUGGCUAUCCAGGAAGCCCUUACCCCAAAAAGCAUCUGCAAGGGACCAAUUACAUCAAGGGGAGUCCUCAAUAAGCUCAUUUUACAGUGUGGAACAAUUUUUUCUCCUUAAUUUGUACAUAAGGCAAUUGUGAGCAGUUAUCAGAGGUGUGUUUGACUUUUUAACUCAACAAUAGUCAUAAAUGAACAUAAAAUCCACCAUAGUAGGCGAUAACAUCAUACCAGUCUGCUUGAUCCUUUUUGGUGGACAUCUCAGCAGCAGUAUUGUACUGUUCUUUUAGUGAGCAAGUCACUGUUUUGACUGACAUCAAGUAAAAUGUAAACCUCUUCCUGACUGUGAUGGAUUGAGCACCUGACAGCCAUACUCAAGUGAAAGUAAAGAUACCGUGUUGGUUAAUUGGUAGAAAUUAAACUCGGGUGCUUGAGUAGAAGUCUUCAAACAUCUAAUGUAUUUUGUGUUCGAGUAUGAAAAAGGGUUUUCUCAAAGUAAUUGUAUUUAUCUAUUGGGUGUAGAACUACAACUAAAUAAUGUCAGUGAAGAUUACGAUGGUCUGGAUUUGAAGAAUUUGAAUCCAAAUGUCAAAAAACAAGGUUUUCACAUCAUAAAGACUGAUGGAAGAUACCUGGUGGAAGAGCAGCAACGUAACUCAAAGUCACCACAUCUAAAUAGUUAAACAUGUCUCUCAAUUAUUAGUUUUAUGUCAGUUAAGCUGCUAUGUAUCAUCAGUUUUGAAUUAUAUCAUGCUAUUUCACAGUACACCAAUCCCCCAUUUUUUCUUAUUUCUAUAUAAUGUGUGUGCAGUAUAAAGUGGAGGUCAGUAGGGGUUUGGUGGUUAGUGUAGCAAGAAGUUUUUAGGUAAUUAGCCCUUAUUUUGUGAAACUUAUUGUCUAAACAUUGAAGAUAAUUUACCUCACAUCUUGCAGGCUCCUGCGAUUGGUAAACAUUUUAUUUAUUUAUUGUUCUUCUCUGCACUUGCUCUUUUCCUUCUUUGAGUUUUUUUUCUCCUGUUGACAUCCAUAUUGUUGAAUCUCUACUCCUCUUUGUUUAUCCUUUGGAAAUAUAUUUUGGCUUUUAAAUGUUGUGCAGUUAAUAUGCUGUUAAAACUAGCAGGUUACCAUGUCUAAAUGACCAACAUUGAAAGCUGUUACAAGAAUCCUAAGCAUUUCUGGAGCACUGCACUUUAUGUCCAGAAGGUGGCCUUAUUGCUAAAGAUUUGUGACUGAGUUUAAAUUUGAUUUUAAUUUCACACACAUUACAAAAUCUCUGAAUACAUACAUUCAAAACCUGUGAGAAUCUGUCGCCUUGAGCCUGUUCUCAUCCACGAUAACAAUGCUAUGACCUGUCCGUAACCUUGGCUUACAUGAAUACGCUUGCCUCCCUGUGUAUUUCUGUUAUUAAAUAUCUGCAAAUAUCUGGAAAAGUACACAAGUCUAUGAUUUUGAUAUGAAGUUGUUACCUCUGCUAAAAAUGUAGUUGCCUGAAAAAGCCAUGUGCUGAUAGUAAGUAAGUUAUGAGAUCCCAAGAACAUAUCUCCACUCUUUAAAACACAUCACCAGGAAAUGGUAAUUUCCUAGUAAUUACUAAUUUCUGCAGCAACCAACAUUUCUUCUGCCAAAAAGUUCUGUGGUAUCCCGCCAAAUAGGUUAAAUACACAAAUUCACUCAAGAAAAAAAAGGUUAGCCAGUUUUGUCCAUAUCUGCACAACAGUGAUGAGCUAUUUCUUACAGUGAAACAUGGCAGCACACAUAAACCCAUGAUUAAAACUACUUUUCAUCCACUGAACACAAUCCUUGAAAAAGUUGUGUUUCCUGAAAUGUACUGCCUGAAGCUCAUCAUAAAUGUCUUUGUCCACAGUAUGUUAUUUAGAAACUGCAGCUGUUUCAGGAAUGUCGUUUUUGUUCACUCCAACAGCUCUGUAGGCAGCAGUGUCUGAUAUUUCCCCCUGACAGUCAGCAGCAUUUGAUUUUAGAGGUCCUUCUCAGGGGUUCAGACUAAAACAUCAAAAUUAAAAAACCUAUAUAAAGAGGUAUAAACAUUUGUCAUAAUUAUCCAACAUUGUAUUACUGCAGUUGAAAAUACGACUAACAGUCAGGGUUUUAAGCAGCACAGAACUAACCCUUGUACCUUUGAGGUAUGCGUAGACAUGGUGUUGAGCAGAUAUAUUUUGUUUCUGCUUCACGAUCUUUUUCAGUGGAAGAACGGUCAUAAUGGCUCAACACUGCUGUGUUUUCGCUUGUCAUAAAGUGUUAGCACAAAGUGUAAAUUCUGUUUAAUUCUAGCAAAUCAUAUCACACAACACCCUUCCUCUGUAGCUUUAACAUUGAAGAUAUUUGGAGAAUAAAACAUCUGAACACUCCGGUGUUCACAUGGAGUGAUAAAAGAGGUGUUAGUAAAUCAAGAAUUGAUAUUUAAAUUAUUUCUCAGAUUUUUUAUAAGAACUGUAUUAAUUUGGAAAUAUACCCCACCCCCCUUGCACCUUUUAAGGCUUUAUGUAUUACAUAUGGGACAUAGUUUGUCAAGCUUACAGCUGCCGUGUCCGUAGAAACUUAAUACUUAAUAACUUAAAAAAUUAAUAAAGUAAAAUUAGGGUUACAGAAGUCAUUUCAUGGUUUCAGUUCAAAAUCAGUAGGGUAUUGACUGAGAACUUUUCAAAUUUGGUUUUUUUUUUUGGAAAAAUUCUGUGAUUUGGCUAAGAGGCGUUCAGGGUGUAAAUUUUGUAACAAGGAUUACUUAUUUAUCUUAUUUUUAAAAGAGUGGAAACUGGGACUAACUAACCUGAAAAUUCAGCCAGAGGGCCUGAACAAUCAAAAAGUAAAAUGUGUAUUCCUGGGGUCCACAACAUGAUGGCUGGAGGAAGGUGGAUGGAAUACAUACAUUUUUUAAUUUUAAUUUUGAAAUAUAUAAUAUCAAGCAUUCUUUAAAAGUGUUGUAGUUCUUGAUGUUGCAAAGUAUCAGCAGACAGCUACCUGACAGUUAAAAAACUAUUGUUUAAAGUGAAUUGGAGGAAUUUGAUAACUAUCACAUUUGAGGAAAUUAAGAAUGUAAAAGUAGAAAACUUGAACAGGCUCCUUUUUACUUGAUUUCUUCUUAUACAGUACAGAAAAAUAAAAUCUUCAAACAACCAUGACCCAAGAGUUGGUCACUUCAGUUCCUAAAUCAAAAAAGACAGAUCUUUUCCCCAUAACUACGGGGUCCAAUGAGACAGAGAUAUUUGCUCUAUUACUAGCUAAAAAACAUAAGAUGGAAGUGGAUUCAAUCACUAUAGUCAGGUUUCUUGUCAAAAAGGCUCAUCAUGAACAACAUCACGGCAUGCCAGUGAUGGACAAUCUGAAUCAUUUGGAUCUACAAGAAAUCUGGUUUUGGUGAGUAUUUCUUUUGGGCCAUAAAACUCUUUGUAAGUAACGUAAUGGUUUCAUUAAAUUAUUGGGUAGUACAUCUCCUAAAUGUGUUACGUCUGCAGGCAUUAUAGGCAAAUACCUCCCCAUACCUCUUGGAUCAUUGCUUUUGUUUGACUGUAUUAAAUAUAGUGCUUUAAAAGGUAUUUCUUCUUUUCGUUAAGAGCUGAUCCUAACUCUGCUAACAGAUCACCACACCACACGAUAAGUAUUUUUUAAUUCAAACCUAUUUUUAUAGCCAUUAAAUUAAUCAAAAGCAAACUUACAUUCCUGACAUUUGCAUAACAUUUUCACAAGAAAUAAAGCCAUAAUUCUUUAUUACUCAGGGUUAACACAAGAAGCCCUAUGUUGGUCAACAUGUUAAAUAUGUAUCUUCUCUAUUUGUCCAGUUUUCCUUGUAAAGACAGAACGACUUAAAAAACAAUACUUCCAAGAAGAUGUUACAACAUUACUAUGGGUUUGUUUGAAGAAGGCUUGUCUUAAAUCUUAAAGAUAUUUGAUUAUGAUCAAGGUUGAAAAUUUUCUUUUACAGUCAUCAAUACAUUUUAUCUUGGUAAAAGUUACAUUUGGGAAAGAUUUAAGUCCUAUAUAGAUGUAAAAUGCAGUUUUGUAACUACUGUCCUGAAACUGCUUUGCAUUUCUUUUGGUAUUGCCCGAUUGUAAAAAUGUUCUUGGGAAAAAUGAUGUGACUAUAGAGACAAUAAAACUAGUAAACCUUUUUGUUUUAUUCUUUCAAAUUGAAAACAUCAAAGAAUAUAAUACAUUAAUCAUUAUAAAUGGGUAGGACUAACAUUACAGCCCAGUAACAAGCAUGUAUUUAUCUCCUCACCUUGUUAAAUCCACUUCUGUCUUGAUAGAGUCUUGUUGAAUUUCUUCAUUAAUAUCAUCUGACCUUGUAACAAAUUCACAUUCAUUAUGUCUUGACUGGUAAGAUUUCAUUAAAAUUUCCCUUUAAGAUCUUGAAUUUUUUCAAUGCCUUUCAAUUUUUUAAUCCUUUUGAUUUGAUUAAUAAGUUAUUUGGCUAUAAAGAUGGAAAACCUGCAAAUUUAAUGUUUUAUUGAUUCCCCAAGGUUUCCAUAAUUACCAGUAACUGGUGUUCCAUAAAUAACAGUGAGUGUCCAAUUACCAGAACCAUAUUUCUGUGUGUAUACACCCUGUAGGUUCAACUUUAUCAAGAUUUCAUUGUGAUCUGCCAAAAUAGCUAGUUUUAUCAAAACAACUGUGACCAGAAUAGCAAGAUCAUUAGAGGUGAGCCAGAAAUCAAUUCACGAUCGUAAGGAGAGAUUGUGAUUUUACUUUAUUUGCAUAUUUUGAUGAGGGGUCAUGUUUUUUACAGGGCAAUAAUCUGUAUCAUCAUUACAAAACAGAAUAAUAACCACCUUCUUAGCUGUUGACAAGAGAUCAUUAGAACAAAGGUGGGAGAGUGCUGGUUCAACAUGUACAAUUAAUCAAUUAAUAUCAACUAUGCAAACAAUCCAUCUCCUAGACAAGUCUUUUUUUCUGUCCUCAUCUAUGCUGUCAAAUGGCGACCCCUGCUGAUCUUACACUGUCAUUGAAAAACCACAUCUCAGUACCCAAUGGAUUUUUUUCAAAAGGAUUCACCAGAUGAACUUGCAUUGGUUUCUUGAAAGAAAACCAGUACCUCAACUUCGCAGUACAAAACAGAGCUUUCCUCCAGAGUAGUUCUCUGAUAUUCUUGGCAUAUAUUCUCAGAAAGAGACACAAGGAUGGGUAAAAGAAAAACAAACGCUUGUAUGACACAGUGUUGACUUUUCCCAUUAUAUAGGGUUGAUG